rnacentral:lncRNA from 1 species
CAGAAACUACAAGUGUUGAAGAACAAUUGACUUUUAAUAGGAUAAUAGGAGUAUUAUUAGGAUUGCCAAAUUAGUGCUACUUAGGCUAUGUGCAAUUUAGAAGUCUAAAGUACACCUUUUAAAAGUCAUAUUUUUGCCUUUGCUCUCACAGAAAACAGUGGUCAACGGUUUCCAUUCUUUGUUGUUGCCCAGUUGCUGUCAUGAUGCAGACAAAUUUCGAAAAUUCAGAAAUCAACUUCCUGUUCUGCAGAAGCAGAGCUCGUUCACAAGUCUUCCUCUUUCAAUAACAGCUCACUCCUGACUCCACCACCGCCAGUCCGUCCCCACCGCUGAACCAUCGCAAAUGAUGACAAACUACUCUC